GAAGCAAAGCCCACAAGUUUCUGACUGUUUCUAUUAAUAAAGGCGGAUCACAGAGACUUUUCAGCAGCAGAUGAGCUUACAGAGCUGUGCCAGGAGGAGCACUGAUGCUAAGCCUCGCAGCUGAUGGAGUGGCUGCUUACCAUGAGACAAUGGAUCUCAAUCCCAACAAAGGAAGAAAAGUGCCCUGUAAAGUGUCUUUAUCCAGCAAGAAAUGCUGAGUUCAUUGCCUGGAAAGACAUCACAUACUUUAAGGUCCCGUACUCAGAGAUUGUGCUGCGGACAUGGAGUGAAGAGCUGUUUUCAGAAAAUAUCUUCAGGAAAAUUCGUCUCUUCAUUGAAGUUCCUACUAUCUGUUGUCUUUGCAAUGCUCUGAGAUUCCCUCGUGUGAUCACUCUAACAGGGAACCAAAGACCUGGCCUGAGGGCCCUCCUGACACCUUAUUUGUCUCACAUCAUCUAUUUGGGAGAGAAAAAAAAAU